rnacentral:rRNA from 1 species
AGUGAACGCUGGCGGUAGGCCUAACACAUGCAAGUCGAACGGCAGCACAGUAAGAGCUUGCUCUUACGGGUGGCGAGUGGCGGACGGGUGAGGAAUACAUCGGAAUCUACUUUUUCGUGGGGGAUAACGUAGGGAAACUUACGCUAAUACCGCAUACGACCUACGGGUGAAAGCAGGGGAUCUUCGGACCUUGCGCGAUUGAAUGAGCCGAUGUCGGAUUAGCUAGUUGGCGGGGUAAAGGCCCACCAAGGCGACGAUCCGUAGCUGGUCUGAGAGGAUGAUCAGCCACACUGGAACUGAGACACGGUCCAGACUCCUACGGGAGGCAGCAGUGGGGAAUAUUGGACAAUGGGGGCAAGCCUGAUCCAGCCAUACCGCGUGGGUGGAGAAGGCCUUCGGGUUGUAAAGCCCUUUUGUUGGGAAAGAAAAGCAGCAGGUUAAUACCCCGCUGUUCUGACGGUACCCAAAGAAUAAGCACCGGCUAACUUCGUG